AUGUGGGCAGCACGGAGAGCAGUGGCCCCCUUUGGAGCUGACGGUGGGGUUUCCUCGGUGGACAUCCCAGGGCAGGGCACCGCCUCGGUGAACCCUAGAAAGGUGACCAGUGCUGAUCUGAAAACGUGGAUCCACUCCCCGGCGAUUCCCCUGCUGAAGGCCGCACACUUUCUGGCACUCUACAGGUUAGCGGGUGUGCUGGGAAGCUCCUCAGCCCGGCGUGCAUGUGGCUUCGAGAACUCCGUGAGACCAAGGCCAGGCAGAGGCCGAGCCUGUCUGUGCCAUGGGAGUGAGGGUGCCGGCCUGGUCCCCAGGGAGCCCAGGAGUGUGCUGGUGAAGGUGCCUGCAGGUCAAGCCCAGUGUCGGAAAGAUCCAGAAUGGAAAUGAUGGCCUACCUGGAGCUGGAGGAGGCCCAAGGUCAGGAAGGGUGGGGCUCAGCCCUGCUGGGGAAGGCCCUGGGGUGCAGAGAGUCUCAGCCAGCCCCUCCAGGCCUUGGGGUGAUGGUGACACUGCCCACCCCGCUACCAGGGGCCGAAGGGCCCCAAGUUUCCGACCCGUCCUGCAGGAAGCAGCAUUGCCAGUGCCUGGAUGACCCGAAGGGCAGUGUGGGUUUGGCACGCGGGGUGCUGGUGGCUGAGCUGCUUCUCAGCACUUCCAUCCACCCCCCUCCUCACCCCCCACCCCAGGGGGAAACUCCAAGGAUAAGCUCGCCUGCCAGCUCUCUUUAGGGGCUGACUCACAUUUUAAGCAAGUAAGCAACAGGCUUUUAUUUGCUUUGGAAACAGCCCUCACCUUAGUAGUUCUCUGAAUAUUGAUGCAAAAUUCACGACAGACUUAGUUACAACAGGCUCUAAGAUGAGUUGCUCAGCAUCUACGGGCCUUGUGGGGACCUCACGCCUGUUGUGAUAAAAACCCAAAAACAAAAACAAAAACAAAAACCACCUCUCAAAACUACAUCCCCAUGGUUCUCCUGCCUCCUCCCACCUCCUCCCACCUGGUGCUCGAGCUCUAGGCCAUCAGGGUACCUGCACAUGCCUCGUGUGCAGGGUGUCCCGCCGCUGAGCGGUGCAACGCUGGCCGCCUCUGGGCCUCCACCCGGCCCCCGUCAAGGGAACAGGAUGCUCACGCUGAAACCGCCUCCUCCGCCCUGCAGCCAGGAUGGAUUUCCCACCGACUAGCACGCGUAGGUCUAGAGCAUUCAGAGUUACUAAGAUUAGUCUCAAGGCGGCCCUGUUGGCCACCAGCACCCAUCUGGGAUGGAGAUUUGCAUUUCCUACUCUUUCCUCCCCAAAGCAGGGCAGAGAUAAUGCCAGAGGGUGAGUGGGCACUCAGAGUUGCCCACACCACGGGCAACAAAACUUCAAUGUCCCAUAAGGACACUGCGGGGUGGGGGUGGGGGGGGAGGAUUAAAUUUUAAGUAGAAAAAUCAGGAACCUGACCUCUGAAAAAUGAUUUGACUUCAGUAUUUCCUAAGGAGGCCAUCAAUCCUUGUAAAGAUAAAAGUGUAUAAUGUCAGAGGAUAUUCUUCCAGCAGGAUGAAUAAUCCCGACUACCUUACAAGCUUAGUAACACCACCAGGUGGAGAGCCCGCACUCCUUUGAACAAGCGCAAGUCCGUGGAGUAGCACCCAGAACACGGUCCCAGGCCUGGCACUGGGGGCGCGGGCGCCAUCUGCUGGUGGCCUGGAAACCGCCUCAGGGCUGUGGGAAGCCUCCUACAGACCCCCCGGGGGUCCGGGGACAGCCCAGUCUGGGGACAUUUUGGCCACUUCCCAC
rnacentral:lncRNA from 1 species